AUGAUGAUGGAAACCAAAUUGAGAUUUCGUCCAUGGGUGCAGUGGGACAGAGAGCCACAUCAGGAUUUAAGAAGGAACCAUCUUGGGUUGGAUAGAUGCCAGAGUGGGUGGAAGACAUGCUCAAGGGUCAGGAGAGAUAAAUCGUUUCUCAAAGAUGCCAGAAUAGACAGAGGGGCCUCUGGAUCUUACCUACCAUUGGACUUCAUGGGUCUUUCCCAGUUCCUGGAAUUAAACAUAAACUUUUGCUUGUUUGGGCUUUUUUUUUUUUUUUCUAGGAAGGCUGUCUUUGGCUUUCAUGAGAUUCCCAAAGCGGUCUCUGACUUCAGAAAGGUUCAAAACCUUUGUUUACUGGAACCUUCCCUUAUUGUUCCCAUGCUGGCUUGCCCACUCUGGUCAGUAGGAACCUGCUGGUCUCCACCCCUGAUCUUUUCCCACAGCAGUUAACCUUCCUUGCUUCCUGAAAUGCUCUUCCCUCCUGCUGCAGCAGUGUGGUACACCAUGUUUUGUUCUGUUACCACCGCCACCAUUUGUGGUUUACCCUCAUGUCACCUGAAAAUUUAUCUGUCGAGUAUUUCCCUUCGAUGCCCUUCUUUGCUUAAAUCUCUUUUAGAAGGGACCUGGUGGAUGGGUAAUAAAACGAGAUGAAUCUGGAAGCUGGAGAAGACUGUGGCCUCAGAGAAAAAAUAUUUCCAUCACAGCAACAAUAUAAGCGAAAGACUGGUGAUAGCAGAGCAGGGGAGAGAGACGUGGGUCUGGGCAGGUCAUCCCUUCCCAGGGGCUGCGAACAAGAGCCGUCUGGAAAACAGUGGAAAUGGGCACGGGCAGCCAGACGUGGAGAUGUGGGCUGCCCUUUGGGAGGAAGAUAGUGCUUAUGUGGGAGAAAGAGUGGGAAGGAGUGAGAGUUAGACAGAGAGUUUCUGAGAUGGAUGCUGGGUUGGGGGUGACGAAUGGUACCAAGGGGGAGGCAGCUAAUGAGAAAGACGCUUUGGAAACAGAAAGCCAUGGAGGCCGAAGAGGGAUGAUGGAGGAUGAGGGAAUGUUUGGGCUGGAAGUUGGGCUUAGAGGGGGCUGACUUUUCUAGACGAGGGCGUGGAGAGGGAGUGCAGGAUGUCUCAAGAGGGAGGCUUGAGGGGCUGAGGGAAAGACCCCAAAAUGGGCCAUGCAGUGUGUGAGUGUUUGUGUGUCUCAAGGAGAGUGGGCGUGAGAAGAGUGAUAAAGAAAAACAUUUUCUUUUCUUUUCUUUUUCUUUUUUUCUUUUUUGGCCACCCUGCAGUGCAGGGAGUUCCCAGACUAGGGAUCAGAUCUCAGCCACGGCUGCUGCAACACCAGAUCCUUUAACCCAGUGUACCAGGCAGGGGAUCGAACCUUCGUCCUGGUGCUGCAGAGAUGCUGCCAAUCCUGUUGUGCCAUGGUGGGAAUGCCGAGACUAUUUUCUUUAUAUGAGAAACCACUGUCUGAAUGGUCUGUUCCUAAGUCUGGGGCAGGAAUCUGAAGUGCCAGUCCCGACACUGGCAGAGAGAUAAACACUCCACAAACAGGGCUUGCCAGUGCCAUAGAGCGGGUCAGAUAGUGAAGGGGUACCUAGCUGCUCCAGCAGCUGCUGGUAGGUUAGGGCAGUGGUUCUCUAAGCACUGGGUGCUCAGGAAUCCCUGGGUGGGGGUAGGGGGGUCAACUUGUUCCGACAAAGAUUCUGAGUCAGCAGGUUUGGGGUGGGGCCCAGGAAUGUGCAUUUUUAACAAGACCCCCCUCCCCAAGCGAUGUUGAUGCUGCCAGUUGGGAACCCCACUUUGAGAACCACUUGAUGAGGGAAACUGGUUCAUGCCUUUUAGAGACUGAUCCAAACCCUCUUAAGUUUCUUUUGGGCGAUAUACGACUGUGAUGAAAAGGAAGAAAAUGAACAUCCCUUUUUAACUCUGGACGAACAGGCAAAUGUAAAACAUUUGAAAUGUGUAAUGGAAACAUUUCAAAGUGCUAUUGAUUCUUAUCAGUGGGAUGGUGCAAUAAAGAAAGAAGCAUGUGGGAGUUCACUUUGUGGCUCAGCAGUAAACAAACUCGACUAGGAUCCAGGAGGACGUGGGUUUGAUCCCUGGCCUGGCUCAGUGGGUUAAGGAUCUGGCAGUGCCGUGAGCUGUGUUUGUAGAUCAAAGACACGGCUCAGAUCUGGCUUUUCUGUGGCUGUGGUGUAGGCUGGCGGCUGUAGCUCCGAUUUGACCCCUAGCCUGGGAACUUGCAUAUGCUGAGAGUAUGGCCCUAAAAAGCAAAAAAGAAAAAAAGAAAGAAUCAUGUUUUAAGGGCCCCCUCCCACUUGGCUUCCUACUUUCUUGUGGAUUCUUAGCUUUGCUUUCCUUUGAUAAGCUACCAUUUCAGAUUUAGUCAAUGGUGGCCCUCUAUGGGGUAAGGGAAGGGGAGAGGCAGGAAGAUUCUGUUUCCUGGCCUUGGAAAGAUGGGGUGGCCAAAGGUGAAGGAGGAUUUUUUUUUUUUGCUGUAUCAGAGCCAGGUUGCUCCUCUGUCCUGGUGGCCCUGCCAUGAGGUAUCUUCCUUUUGUAGCCUCCAGUCUCAAAGCCUUCUGCCCAUCAUGGCUCCAGCCUUUCCCCUGUUUACAUAUGUGCUUGGAGUGCAGAGAGGAUGCUUUGGGGAAGGAAAGGGCACAUCUCCAGUGCUCCAAAAGAACAGAUUUGACUGCAUCAGAAAAUGCUGCCUCUCCUUGAGUUGUUUCAUGAUAAAUCCACACAAUACACUUGCUGUGAUAGAUGCUGGCAGGGUAAACAAAAAGCUUUUAAAUAUUAGCAUCAGUUUCACAUUUUUCCUUGUUCAGACGGGACAGAGUAAUCCUUGUUCUUGAUAAAGGAUUCCGGGAAUUGAGGCAAUGAUUAAGAGAAGUGUUUAAUCACGAGAAGGGGAGGAGUCCAAUCAGUAGCAAAUAAAAAUAAACAACAAGAAGGAUGAUGGAUAUUGACUUCUGAGCACUCCUAGUUUUUAGCCAUCAAUGACCUGUGGAUGUUGGUUGCUGUAGCUGUCAUAUUUGAUGCUUCCUUCUGUAGGAACGGUAAAAAAGAGAUCACUAGGGCAAAUCAGAGUCAGGGACUGAGUGCGCAGGUGUAGAACUGCCAGAUAAAAUACACGAUGCCCAGUUCCACUUGAAUUUCAUGUUUUGACAAUUAAUAAUUUGCUGUAUGGAACACAGCCACAUCUGAAUUGUGAAUUUAGCUGGACAUCUUGUGCUUUUAUUGGCUAACCUGGCAACUCAAGAGAAACUUUUCCAUUUGGGGAGCAAGCUCAGCGUUUGGGGCCAAGUUACAACUUGUCCUGCUUCAUGUCACCCAGAGUGUUGAGAUUCUCUUUAAGUAGAAGGAUGCAAAUUCUCAAGUGUUAAUUUAUGAAUUCCUGUUGGUCUUAAGAAUUGAAAUUCAUGAUCUUAGGAAAGGAAACCAUAAAAUCAAGGCUGGUAUCCCAAAGUGACUCUUUCCGCCUUUUUGGAGGCAGUCAGCUAAUAUUGUCAGGUGGACAUAAACUAUCAUAGUGAAGAACAGAUGGGCCACCUUUGGGUUAUCUGCACUGCAUUCAACCCCUCUUUGAACACUAAUUAUAAUCUGUUGGGAGGAAAUAUCGAUUGAAAGGUCAAGUGCUUUUGUAAAAAAAAAGGUGAUCAUUCAGUACUUCCUACUUUGAACCAAAGCACACACCAGGACUCAUUGUAUCCCUAUCUUCUGUACAGCAUAUAUGUGCUGAAAUAUGAAUUUCUUAAUUCUAGGAUUUUCUUCAGGGAGGAUAAGUGAACGUGAACAGAAGCUGUCAAGAGAGGUACAUUGCUUUACUUGUGAUUCUUUUUUUUUUUUGUCUUUUUGCUAUUUCUUGGACUGCUCCCGAGGCAUAUGGAGGUUCCCAGGCUAGGGGUCGAAUCGGAGCUGUAGCUGCCAGCCUACGCCGGAGCCACAGCAACUCGGGGUCCGAGCUGCGUCUGCAACCUACACCACAGCUCACGGCAACGCCGGAUCGUUAUCCCACUGAGCAAGGGCAGGGAUUGAACCCACAACCUCAUGGUUCCUAAUCGGAUUCGUUAACCACUGCGCCACGACGGGAACUCCUACUUGUGAUUCUUAAUCUGUAUCUACUGCCAUUUCAGACUACGAGUUGACUUUUAAACCAAACAUCUAAAAUAUAAGUUAAUUUUACUAUGCAAAGUGGGCAUGGUGGUGUGAAAAAUCUCCUUGAGCUGCAAAAUGGACACGUUGCGUGAGUAGGGCUCCGGGCGAACACUGUUCCUUUCUCCUUCCUCUGAUUUUUUUAAGGGACCAGUCAGUCUAGAAAGAGGACAGGAGAAGACCUUGCCUCCUAAUUAACAGAAGGGAAAGGGUGGAAAGACCAUGCAGUUACCCUUUGUAAUGGAAUGGCCAGUUACGGUAAGAGACAGGAAGAUCCCCUUUGCAGUGAAUCCGCAUUCUGGGAAAAUCUAGUGGAGAUUCCAGGCACCCUGAGAACCAAAAGACUGGAGAGACUAAGCAUAUGCAGCCAAACUCCAUUCAUCUCUCCAUUUAUUUUCCUUAGUCUGCUGGGGAUUAUUUCGGAAAGAGGAUUCAGGGUACAGAAGAAAAGUGAGACGAUAGUGCCAGUGUUAAGCUAGAACGUGCAGGGACACUGGGUUCAGCUACAGCAGCCUGGGAGGUGGAUGGUUAAAGAAGGUACAAGUAGGUGCAAGUGUUCCCAAGGGACUCCCUUGGCAAAUUCCUCCUGUGGCUUCCCAAUCUUCGAGUUAGCUAAGCUUUAACUAAUAUAAUAAAUUAUAUACAUAUAUAUUUUUUUUUCCUUUUUUUUUUGGCCAUGUUCACAACAUGCAGAAGUUCCCUGGGCCAGGGAUUAAAUCUGAGCCACAGCGGUGACCACACAGAUCCUUAACCAGCUAGGCCCCCCAGGGAACUGCCUAAUUCUGUAUUUUUUAGCUGGCCAAUAUGUACUUGCAAGGGAUAGAAUAAGAGGAACAAAACAGUGAACACCUUUAUUGAGGAGACAUUAUGUCUCCU
rnacentral:lncRNA from 1 species